UUGUUCAGGACUAGCACUUGUUGCGCAGCCAAUUCUCUUAGGGGCACUUCAUCCUCUUUAAAUUUGUCAUGGCUCUUCUCCCUUGUUUGCUGCUCUUGGUUCUGCUUUUGUUUCCUUCUGUUUCUGGCCAAGUGAGAGAUUUUGUUAGCAUAGACUGUGGAGGCACAGGUAACUACACAGACCCAAAUACUGGACUUGCUUGGAUAUCAGAUGCCGGAUUAACCAAAUAUGGAAAGGUGGCAGAAGUAAGGACUUCAAGAAAAACUGGACCACAGUAUAAGUUCCAUAGGUAUUUUCCUGCAGACAGCAAGAAGUACUGUUAUACAUUGAGUACUACUGAAAGAAGGAGAUAUCUUGUCCGAGCAACAUUUCUGUAUGGAAAUUCAGAUUCUGGAAACCCCUACCCGAUGUUCCAGCUAUUUAUGGACAGCACCUACUGGUCCACUGUAACAAUAAAAGAUGCUUCCAGUGUGUUUGUUGAGGAGAUGAUAAUCCGGGCAACUUCUAGUUCUUUACAAGUCUGCCUAUGUUGUGCAUCCACCAGUUAUCCUUUCAUAUCAACUCUUGAGCUGCGGCCCUUGAAUGUAUCAAUGUAUGCUACAAAUUAUGAGGAUGAUUUUUACCUCAAGGUUGCAGCAAGAGUAAACUUUGGUGCUCUUAGUGAUGAACCUAUACGGUAUCCUGAUGACCCUUAUGACCGUAUAUGGGAAUCUGAUCUAUAUAAAAGGCAGAACUAUCUUGUGGGAAUGGCUCCUGGAACAAGAAGAAUUUGUACUAAGAGGAACAUAAAAAUAAAUACACGGGAAUUUCCGCCACUUAAAGUGAUGCAGACUGCUGUGGUUGGAACGAGGGGAAUCCUUUCAUACAGGUUAAAUCUCGAUGGUUUCCCUGCCAAUGCUCGAGCUUAUGCAUAUUUAGCUGAAAUUGAAGAUUUAGGUAAAAACGAGACUCGAAAAUUUAUGAUGAAGCAGCCCUAUAUUCCUGGUUAUGAUAAUAUAUUUGUCAAUAUUGCUGAGAAUGCCCAUGGGAGUUAUGCACUUUAUGAACCCAGCUAUAUGAAUGUAUCACUAGAUUUUGUUCUAUCAUUCUUAUUCUCCAAGACUCAAGAUUCAACUCGUGGUCCCCUUCUGAAUGCGAUUGAAAUCAGCAAAUAUGUACAAAUUAUACCAAAGACAGAUUUCCAAGAUGCUGCUGUUUUGCAUGCAUUCCAAUCCAUGUCUUCUCAGGGAGAAUGGACCUAUGAAGAUGGUGAUCCUUGUAUCCCUGCUCGCUGGGAAUGGAUAAAUUGCAGCUCCAGCAUGCCACCAAGGAUUACACAAAUAUUUUUGUCUGGAAAGAAUUUGAGCGGUGCAAUACCUGCAGACAUAAAGCAGAUCGAGCAGUUAACAGAGUUGUGGCUUGAUGAUAAUUCCUUGGACGGCCCAAUCCCAGAUAUGAGCAAUCUAAUAAAUUUGGAAGUCGUGCAUCUAGAGAACAACGAACUGACUGGUCAGUUACCAUCUUACUUUGGCAAGCUGCCAAGCUUAAGAGAAUUGUAUGUACAAAACAACUAUUUAAGCGGGGAUAUACCUCCAGCACUGUUAAAUGGAAAAUUCAUAUUCAAUUAUGAUGGCAAUCCUGGAUUACGCUUAAUGGGACAGCAUGAGAGGCAUCUUCAGUUAAUAGUUGCUACAGUCAUUGGAGCAUUUGCUGCUGUACUUUUGCUAGUGGGAUGUUUGUGGCUGCUUUGGAAUCAUCAAAAGAAGCCAUUGCAGGGUGAAAGUCAUAAGAAAAUCUUUUCAGGCAAUUAUCUGCGCAUCCUUUCUAAAUCUUCAAGUCCCUAUUCUAUCGUACGAGGUGCAUCUUUGGUCAUUGAUGAUGGUCUAGAUUUGGCUUACUAUAUCUCACUUACUGAGAUAGAAGAAGCAACUUGCAAGUUUUCAAAAAAGAUUGGUGAAGGAAGCUUUGGCACUGUCUAUUAUGGAAAAAUGAAGGACGGAAAAGAAGUGGCAGUCAAGGUUUCUGCUGAUUCAACUAGUAGCGGAACUCAACAAUUCAUAAAUGAGGUUGCUCUAUUAUCAAGAAUUCAUCAUAAGAAUUUGGUCCCUUUAAUUGGAUUUUGUGAAGAAGGAUGUCAAAGAAUUCUUGUUUAUGAGUAUAUGCACAAUGGAACCCUGCGAGAUCACAUUCAUGAUUCUGUUAAGCAGAAGAGUUUGAACUGGCUAUCUCGUCUAGUAAUUGCAGAGGAUGCAGCAAAAGGCCUUUCUUACUUGCACAAUGGAUGCAAUCCAAGUGUGAUUCAUCGAGAUGUAAAGACAAGCAAUAUUCUCCUUGACAUCAAUAUGAGGGCGAAAGUUUCAGAUUUUGGGCUUUCUAGACAAGCUGAUGAAAAUCUUACCCAUGUAUCUAGUGUUGCCCGAGGAACAGUGGGCUACCUUGACCCUGAGUACUAUGCUAAUCAACAGUUGAGCGAUAAGAGCGAUGUCUAUAGCUUUGGAGUUGUUCUUCUAGAGCUAAUCUCAGGAAGAAAGCCUGUUUCAGUAGAAGAUUAUGGUGCUGACUGGAACAUUGUUCACUGGGCAAGGUCAUCGAUUCGUAAGGGUGAUAUAACAAGUAUCAUAGAUCCUUCACUGAUGGGUACAUUUAAAAUAGAAUCUGUCUGGAGGAUCGCUGAAAUUGCCGUCCUAAGCGUCGAGCUGCAUGGAGUUUCCAGGCCAAGGAUGCAAGAAGUAGAGAUGGUCAUUCAAGAUGCAAUAAAGAUUGAGAGGGGAAGCCAGAGCACCCAUGAUUCAUCUUCAAGCUCUUCUUCCAUGCCUUCGUUGCAUGUAUCAUUUCCAUCUGAUCCGCUGGAAAUUGUAAGUUCUGCCUGACCCAAAAAUGAAUCUCCAGCCCACAAGAAUGCCAAUUAAAUCUCAUUGUGAAAUGUAGAAUCCAUUGAGGGCAUGACCAAACGCAUAGGAAUACCUCCUGAGGUUUGAACCUAGUUACCCAGGACCUCCAAAUGUGAAGUAUGGGUGCAAUCACUGGGCUAUACCAAUUUGCUAGCUUCAAGGCAACCUAACCUGCAUUCCUUAUUCUGUAUUGUCUGGGCCAGCGUAUAAAUCACGGUGUCUGACACUCAGCUUGUUAGCGUGACAGAGGCGCGUUAAGAGCUACCAACCUGCUCCAAUGGACUGACAAUGAUAAGAAUUUCUGCCUCCUAAACAGAUCGUCUCUGACAAUGAUUUUCACUUUUUUUUAUCUUUUUCCAGUUGUAUAUUGGAAAAUGCUAUUCUAACUUGCAGUACUCGUUCAAAGGGACGAGCCGUUUGAGAAGAGCAAAAAAAAAAAAAAGAGGAGGGGUCUUGGACAACCAAAUGUAUGCUAUAAAGAGUUUGGAUGCUCGAUUUUCUUCAAAUGAACAAAUGAUUUUGGAUUAUUUCAAUGAUUUCGAUGAUAAUUUGUGAAGUUCAACA